AAAAUGUGUGCUGUCGAGUGAUUGCGCAAGUCGUUGCUAAAGGCACCGACGAUUGCAUAACACGGCACGCACAUUUCCACAGCCUGUGUCUAAAUCCCGCCGUGCUAGAAGCCAUGUAUUGGGAACUUGAGGACCAUGGCGUACCUACUCCAUCCGACCUGCACAAGAAGUACCGCUUCACGGCUUAUCGUUUAUUUACACGCUGGUGCUGGGGCCGACUGGGACGACGAAACCGUGUGGUGCUGCCAGCAUGUGUUGUAGGCCGUAUCCGCAAUGAAUUUCCAUCGGCCACCUAUGUCGGCUUUCACUAUCCAGCACUUU
rnacentral:lncRNA from 1 species